AUCACCGUCGUUAUAAAGGCAGCCUGGGUGCGCUGAAGAAAGAACCCUCGCUUCAGUCCUCACCUUCUGCAUUUCUCGCAACCCACGCCGCGUCACUUCCCCUUCGUAGUCCAGUGGAAGUGGAACCGCCAAAAUGUCGUCGUCGGCGGCGGAGACGCCGCGGGAGCACGUGGAGAGUAUCCGGCGGAAGCGCUACUACAUCGGCCGCGGCGAGCAAAACCCGCUGGCGGAGGACUUGCACCAGGCCACGAACUACCUCUCGCAGGAGCUCUACUCCAAGGACGUGCACUUCCUCAUGGAGCUCGUGCAGAAUGCUGAAGAUAACGAAUACCCUUCUGAAGUAGCACCUUCUUUGGAGUUUCUGAUUACAUCAAAGGAUAUUACUGGAUGUGGUGCAUCCUCAACUUUGCUCAUUUUCAAUAAUGAGAGGGGAUUCUCUGCAACCAAUAUCGAGUCAAUUUGUAGAGUCGGAAAAUCAACAAAGAAGGGAAACAGGCAUCGGGGUUACAUCGGAGAGAAAGGUAUUGGGUUCAAAAGUGUGUUCUUGAUAUCAAGCCAGCCCCACAUAUUCAGCAAUGGCUAUCAGAUCAAGUUCAAUGAGAAACCCUGUGCAGAAUGCAAUAUUGGGUACAUUGUACCUGAAUGGGUGGAAUCCACACCUAGCCUUUCUGACAUCGAAACAUUGUACGGGUGCUCGAAAGUCCUGCCUACAACCACCAUCAUCUUACCAUUGAAGAGCGAGAAGAUUGAUGCGGUGAAGACGCAGCUGUCAAGCAUGCAUCCUGAAAUGCUAUUGUUCCUGACAAAGAUCACGAAACUUUCUGUCCGGGAGAACUCUGAUCUCAACCAUACAACUGUUAGUGAGAUCUCGAUAACUAGUGAGAAGAACUACCAAGCCAGGAAGAACAUGCAUGCGGAGUCGUACACACUCCACUUAUCUGCUGAAGAGACCGGGAAAGAAGAAGCAGAAUGCGGUUACUAUAUGUGGAGGCAGAAAUUCCCAGUCAAGCCAGAGAACAGAGUCGAUAAGCGUGCUGAAAUUGACGAAUGGGUGAUAACUCUGGCCUUCCCACAUGGCCAGCGUCUGACUCGUGGGAAGCAGCUAUUACCUAGCAUCUAUGCUUUCCUCCCAACUGAGAUGGUAACAAGCUUCCCGUUCAUCAUUCAGGCUGACUUCCUCCUUGCUUCGUCAAGGGAGGCUAUACUGUUUGACAGUCCGUGGAACAAGGGGAUUCUAGAGUGUGUCCCAAAGGCUUUCAUGGAUGCUUUUGUGACACUUGUAAAGUCUGAUGCACCAUCAAUGUCUCGGCCAUCUAUGUUCAACUUUCUACCUGUCGACUCCUCACAGAUCCCACUGCUUGAACCAGUUAGGUCUGGCAUCAAAGACAAGGUCCUUGCAGAGGAUAUAGUUCCGUGUGAAUCUUACGCUUCACAGAAGAUAUUCUGCAAGCCCAGUGAAGUUGCACGGCUCAAGCCAACAUUUUGGACUAUCCUUGCCAAAGCAUGGGGGCUAGGAGUGGAUCUGAAGAAUCUGUCAACCCAUGGAACUUAUAUUCUUAGCUCACAUUUUGACAAAAGUAUCUAUGACAGUGUGCUAAACUUUCUGGAUGUGAAAAAUGUGAACCAUGAAUGGUAUGCAAAAUGCAUUGAAGGCUCAAAUCUUGUCAAGGAGGUAGAUGAACAACUUUACCUGGAAAUUUUAUAUUUUGUUGCAGUCAAUUGGCAAAACUUUUCUGGUACAAACAUGAUGUCCAUUCCCCUGCUGAAGUAUGUUGAUAGGGGUGGUGUUCUCUCGUUCUGGAGCAUAUCCAGAGCUAGUCAGUGUAAUGAUAGGUUGUGCAUUGCGUCUGAAAACAAGUACAUAUCAUGGCUAAUCAGCUGGAAUAGGGAGUUCCUAUCUUCUAACCGGUUCUUUCUGCCUCCUAGCACACAAACAGCUCUAGAAGGUUGCUCGGAGAAGAUGAAGAGCUGGCUUCAGAAACAUGCAAGAGUUGAGGUUGUCUCUAUUUAUAGUUAUGGAUCAGUUGUUGUUAAUUCCUUGGGUUCUGAUCAAAGAGCUGUCAUUGCCUUCGCACACUUUCUUUAUCACUCUUUCAAGAAGGAUCACAUCGGGGACUACUACUUGUCAGAACUCUGCAGCAGCAUGCCAGUAAUUGAUAGCUAUGGCUAUGUUGUCAAGGAAAGAAAUAGCAUUAUAGUUCCUGCCAAGGGAAGCAAAUGGGUUGGUUUGAUGGGAACAAACCCAUGGAGGGAUCACGGCUACAUUGAGUUGUCAGCAGAAUACAAGUCAGCAGGACAUUUUGCUGGAAACUAUACUUCUGAAGACCAGCUAUUGGAAUUCCUCAAGACAAAUUUGCAGGCUUCGGAUGUGCCAUUCAUACUCCCACCAGAUGCCAGAUUCUCUACUGUGUCAUCAUCUCUAACUGUGGACAAUGUAUUCUUGCUGCUGGAAUGGAUAAAGAAUUUGAGGUCACGUGGUGUAAGAUUACCAGACCUGUUCUUGACUUGUGUCAAGGAAGGGAAUUGGCUCAAGACGUCGGCUGGGUACAAGUCGCCUAAUAUAUCAUUUCUGUCCAGCUCCAAUUGGGGGAGUCUUCUGCAAACAGCACCUUCCUGUGUUGAUAUACCAAUGGUUGAUCAAGAGUACUACCAAAACAGGCUACAUAUGUACAAAGAGGAACUCAAGGCAAUUGGUGUGAGAUUUGAAUUCCAGGAAGCUUCAGCUUAUAUCGGAACUCGUCUCAUGUCUAUUGCUGCUGGCAAUUCGCUGACAAGAGAGAAUGUGUACACACUGCUUCGGCUUAUUCGGUUUCUACGAGAGAAGUUUCUAUCUCCGAGUGAUCUGAUCGAAAGUGUAAAAGAGGGACGAUGGAUGAAGAGUACUCUUGGCUACAGGCGUCCUGCUGAUUGUAUCAUCUACGAUUCAGAUUGGGAAGUGGCAUCAUGUAUCAGUAACCAACCAUUCCUUGAUGUAUCAUUCUACGGUGCAGCCAUCCUCGAAUAUAAAGUCGAGCUGGAAUUACUUGGUGUCAUUGUGGGGUUCAAAGACAAUUACCAACUUGUUAUUGACAACUUCAAGUUUAGUUCUUGUGAUAUUACCUCUCAAGCUACUGUUUUAAUCCUCAAGUGCAUCCGUUAUGUGGCUUCAUGUGAUGAUUUUAUAAGGAAGCUCAAAGAUUUGAAAUGGUUGAAGACAAUUGUGGGAUUUCAUGCUCCUAACAUGUCUUUUCUUGUGGAUCCUGAAUGGGAGUGCCUUCUUAAGGUCUUUAAUGGAGUUCCUAUUAUUGACUAUGGAUUUUAUGGUAGUGUGAUCAGUUCAUACAAAGAAGAAUUGAGGAAGACUGGGUUGAUCACAAGGUUCGAAGAGGCAUCAAAAGCUAUAACAGAAAUUUUCAAGCAGAGGGUGUUGAAUUCAUCGCUUAAAAAAGCUGAUGUCCUGGCUCUACUAGGAUCGUAUCGUCAACUGGCAAUGCACAGUCCACUUCCAGUUGAGCUGUUCAAUUCUAUGCGUACUGAAAAGUGGCUGUACACUUCACUGGGAUUCCGAUCUCCAUCAGAUGCAAUUCUAUUUGAUGAUGCAUGGGUAUCUUUGUCUCCAAUAGCAAAUUUACCAUUCAUAGAUGAUGGUGACUCUUGCCAUGGUUUAGGAAUGGAGAUACAUGGCUACAAAGAUGAACUGAAGAAGUUGGGUGUUACUGUUGAUUUAAAAGAAGGUGCUAGAUUCGUCAUCACAGGCAUCAGCAUUCCCAAUGACCCUUCCAAGUUGUCCAAAGCUACAAUCUUGUCACUGCUUGGUUGCAUCAAGAGCUACUUCACCUUUGCAGCUGGACCUCUUAAGGGCUUCAAGGAAAAUAUGUGCAAGAAGAAGUUGUUGAAGACAUCCAUGGGAUAUCAGUGUCCUAAUGAUUGUAUCCUCUUUGAUCCAAAGCAGUCUUCUGUCUGCAUGGAAGAUGGCCCUUUCAUAGAUGAAUCAUUCUAUGGUUCAGAGAUAGCCUCAUUCAAAGAUGCUCUUACAAGAAUCGGAGUAACCGUGGAUAUCAAACUUGGAAAAGAUCUUGUUGCUCGGCAUCUGAGGAGCCACAAUAAAACAGUUACCAUUUCCCGGAUCUACUUAUACCUGAUGACGAGCAAAUGGGUGCCUGCAAGUAAAAAUAGCAAUUGGAUUUGGAUACCAAACGAAAUGGAUGGUGGAGAAUGGGUGGCCUCAGGAAGCUGUGUUCUUCAUGACCGGAACAAUCUUUUUGGCCUGCAGUUUCAUGUCCUGGACAAAUAUUAUGACAAAAAGCUGCAUGACUUCUUUUUGUACACUCUUGACGUGAGGGACGGACCUGGUUCUGAAGAUUACUGCAAGCUAUGGGCCAGAUGGGAGAAAUCCGUCAAGGAGAUAGCUGUGUCUGAUUGCUCUGCUUUUUGGAAAUUCAUCGCGACAAACUGGAGCCAAAACACCCAGAAACUUCUUUCUGGCUGUGCCAAAGUUCCUGUAUGUACUGACGGAAAGAUCAUUUUGACAAAGAAGGAGGACGUGUUCAUUCCUGACGAUCUACUACUCACGGACCUGUUCAGCAAGCUAACCCAGCAUUCAUUUUUCAUCUGGUAUCCUGCUUCUAUCCUCCCUUCCAUGUCUCGAGCUAGACUUAACCACAUCUAUGACACCAUCGGUGUCCAAAGAAUCUCCAAAGCAGCCACCAGGAACGAUUCCUUCACCAUCGACGGACGUCAUUUCAGAACGAUUGAUCCAAGUAAGGUGGUCAAGGCUGGUCUGCUCCAAAUAGUGCUCUCAUUCCUCGCUGACCCCGCUCUCGACAUUGCUGCCGAAGAGAGGCACCGGAUGGUUUCCUGCCUUCUGAAUGUGACUGUCCAAGAGAGUGACGAGCCAAUCACACUGGGGUAUAGUGUAAGGCUGUCAUCCGGAGAGGUUGUGGAUGUGAAGUCCAGCCGAAUGGUCAGGUGGGAGAGGGAGGAUUCUAAGCUGUACGUGCAGAGUGGCGACGGCGAGCCCAGCUACAAAGAGAAGAUCGAGUUCGCGACAUACUUCGCAGAGGAGAUCUCUCAGGGCCUGCUCUUUGAGAUGGAGGACCAGAUCCCUUCCCUCGCUGAGCUUAUCAAGUUCGGCAGCUUGCUGGAUUUCCAGGACGCCGCUGUUGGGUUCUUGCUCAAGUCAAAGAACCUGCAGAUGUUUCCUGAAGAUGAGCAUUUCCUGAAGUCUUCAAUGCUAGAUGGCAACAACAACCGUUAGUUUUCUGUCGAUUAUGCGCUUUGGGUAACGUUCAUGGUCAGCAAAUGUUUCUGCUUUCUUAUGUUGCUGGUUGGCUACAUAAAAAUAUGGUGCUGCGCUUGGAAGUGGAAGCUUCUGAAUGUGACUGUUCUCUAGCGUUCAUCUUGUGUUCGUCUAUCGCUCGUUUUAAGUUUGGAUUUCUGUGUGCUAGAAUGCAACUUGUCAGUGCUUCCAGUGCAUGUAUUAAGCGCAAAAACUCAACUGUGAUAAAUAAUGCCGUUUGCAAUGCAUUGUGUCUGAUCUAUUUUGUUUUUUUUUA